rnacentral:rRNA from 1 species
UCUACGGCCAUACCACCCUGAACAUGCCUGAUCUCAUCUGAUCUCAGAAGCUUAACAGGGUGGGCCCUAGUUAGUACUUGGAUGGGAGAAACAUAAUUGAGUCUUCAGAA